rnacentral:lncRNA from 1 species
GGGGUGUGCUGUACAGACCUGGGCCAUUACCCCAUGCAAUUCCUCUCAGGGCAUUGAAUUGGUGGCAAAUCUGUACUUCGGUGUAAGGGAUGAGGAGAUUCCCUGUGUCACUGUCCCUGCAGGCAGAACCCCCCCUGCUGUGGCUGUAGCGCGAUGGGCAGUGCAGAUCAGCCUGUGCUCCUCCAUCGUCUAUGGAAUUUCCUCGUUUAAUUUCACCACUGCAGCAAAGGAGGAUAACAGCACUAUUGCCUCUAAACAUCUGGACUUUAGAAAGUUAACAAAGUGAUUUUUGGUAUACUGAAUGGUAAACAAAUGCAGGGGAAUUUGCACAGUUAUAAAACAGAGAUUUAUUCAAGUUUCAGUCUGAAUGGCUACAGUGGCUACAGUUUUCUGAUUUCUAUAAACUAGCAGAAUUUUAUCCAAAGCCUUAAGAGUGUCUUGGACUCAUUUGAUUCUCUUUAAUGAAAUAUUCAAAAUGAGAUCAUCCCACCUGAACAGCUGGCCAGGCUCCAUAUUGCUACUUUAGCAAUAAGUAUCUGAGUUAUCUAUUAAAAUGCUGGGGUAAAUCUCCAAUAACUACUUGAUCUUAGGAAAAGAUGAUACAUUUUAAACAGAAGUCAUUGGACUUUUUUUUUUUUUUUAAUUGGGGGCGGGGGAAACGUGUGCUUCCCACAGAGUUCAGUCUACUUGAAGGGCUCGUGGCUGUGCUUUGAAAUCGGCUGGGUGUUUGACAAAUGUCUCCCUGCAGUCCUGGCUGUUCCCAGGCUCUCUCCUGCUUCCAGCCGGCACCUCGGGGGACGUGCUGCGUGGGGAGUAGGUGAACAGUCCUCGGGAGCUGCCUGCGUUACGUGAUGUUCCCCAGCUGUCAUGUGCUCCUGUGUGGCAUUUUGUUAGGCUUGCAGACAAACACAGUUUGCCUUGAUUGACAUGUUGACAUGAAAGUUUCCUUUCUCUACUGUAGCUCACUACUAAACUAGGAAGUCAAAGCAUUAUCUGUAAUGGCCUGGGUCAGGUCUUUGCUCU